GGGAAUUAGCCCCAGAAGCCAACUUGGACCCAGAAGUGAUGCCAGUGGCUCUGUGGAGGCUUGGCGACUAGAAACCCAUCGGGCCAUUGACGCGUCUCUGACCCCUAGUAUGAGGGUUAGCUACUCCUGUAAGGUGCUGGUGGAGCAGCGGCUCCUGUGCGUGUCUUAAUCUGCGGCCACUCCCUGGUAUUCUGGGCCUACAAAUGAGCCAGCACCUCGUUGAUCGGCACCCAACUUGGUUUGGUGAAGUGUGCCACUGUGCGCUGGCUUGGGAAAUGGGGUAUGCUGUGGGGCCAGUUACUUCCAAUGUGGAAAUAUUUAACUGUUUGCCCGCCCCCUGAGGUUUUGAUCUUGCAUUUGGGCAAAAAUGAUCUGGGGAAGCAAACUGGGCUUUUCCUGAUUCAACAAGCCACCUCUGACUUCACCAACAUUCACACAUGGGUUCCCAGGGUGAUCAUUGUAUGGGCUGACUGAAUUCAAUGCAGAGUUUGGCAAGGGGUUCUGAACUUGCCAGAUGUUGAAAGGGCCAGGAAGAAAGGGAAUGCUGCCAUGGGCAAGCAUGCCAUGGCCCACGGGGGCACGUUUAUCUUGCAACUGGGUAGCACAAAUUGGUUGCCACACCUUUUUCAGCCUGAUGGGGUGCAUUUGUCCAUGACAGGUUGCUAUUUAUAGCUGGCUAACAUUUGGAGGGGGCUUGUUGAGGUCUUGGAGGGCUGUGGGAGUAGGAAGGGAACCUCCCUUUGUGGCAGGUACAGUGUAGGCUGGGUAGAGGUGUAUAAGCGUUUUAGAUUGGUGAGCACCCUUGGUCAGUUAAAAUGGCAGACUGGUCAGCUGGUACUUAGAGGCUUCAUGGCUCAGGGACUUUGAUUCACCAGCAAACCUGCUUCAGGGCUUCAUACACUUUAAAGGCUGAGCGGCUUGGGGCAGAGGGUGAAGCCCUAGAAGUUUACCCUAGCCUUUGGGGUUGAUAAGGAGAGGGGUGAUGAAGGUUUAUCCCACUUCUUUCCUGAGUCAGGGUGUGUCGCCCAUUUGGGGCAUGGGCGAAGACAGCAAGGUUCUAACCCGGCCUUAGUUAGGCCUGCACUGUAGGAUGUUUGCGCAGUUCACGGGUUAUACCACAUUAAUAAAGUUUUGGCUCUUUUUAUCCAG